rnacentral:rRNA from 1 species
GACGUAGGGUGCAAGCGUUGUCCGGAUUUACUGGGCGUAAAGCGCGCGUAGGCGGUCUGUUAAGUGCACGAGUGAAAGCUCCGGGCUCAACCCGGAAACUGCUCUGCAUACUGGCAGGCUGGAGGGACGCAGAGGUCUGUGGAAUUCCUGGUGUAACGGUGAAAUGUGUUGAUAUCAGGAGGAACACCCAUGGCGAAGGCAGCAGACUGGGCGUUUCCUGACGCUGAGGCGCGAAAGCGUGGGUAGCAAACAGG